rnacentral:rRNA from 1 species
UACGUAGGCAGCAAGCGUUGUUCGGAGUUACUGGGCGUAAAGGGUGCGUAGGUGGUUCUUUAAGUCUGCUGUGAAAGCCCCGGGCUCAACCUGGGAAUGGCAGUGGAUACUGGAGAGCUAGAGUGCGGUAGAGGGUAGUGGAAUUCCCGGUGUAGCAGUGAAAUGCGUAGAGAUCAGGAGGAACACCAGUGGCGAAGGCGGCUACCUGGACCAGCACUGACACUGAAGCACGAAAGCGUGGGGAGCAAACAGG